CCAGUUGCUUUCACUUUCCAGAUUAUUCACCCUGCUCGGCGUCAGUGGGAGAGACACGAGAGAGAUGGGAAACCGAACACAAAUCACUCCGGUUCUGUAAGCUCUUUGCUGAGUGGACGCACCUGGGGCUCCCGGGAGGGAAGCCGGAGAUGAGAGAUUGGAACCAGCCCGGCGUUACGCCUGAGCGCUACCGGGGUGAGCGAGAGGGGAAUCGCGCCCGGCGCCUUCAUUCCUGACGUUCAGCGGCUCGCCUGGGGCAGGAGCCAGCCCUUCACAGACCGUCCCGCCUUCGCUUGCAGACGCAGGCUGCUCCGCACCAUGACGAGAGUCGGUCUCGUUUGCUCACUUCACUCGAUUGUGCUGUGGACUCUCUGCUAUGCUGAGCUUCUCCAGAGCCCAUCAACAUGGUGCAGUCUGUGGUGGAUUAGUCUGGGAGUGUUACUGGGGAUAUUAGCAUUUGCUCUCCUUCGAAUGUAUAAUCCUUCCUGGCGGAAACUGUGGCUGGACAAAAAGUCACCUCGAAGUGAGUCCCAGCAGACUGUGUCCGACCAUAAAAAAGACGAAGAGGAGAACAAACAUCUGCUCCAGGCAUCCUCGUCAACCUCUAUAGACCUAGGAGUGGCCAAUCCCACCCACAGGCCACCUGCGCAUUCCUCCCCGGUACGGCUCCGGACAUUUCGCUUCCCUUCUUUGUUUGCACAUGUGUCUGAGGUCAUUAGAUUUGAGGGGAGGAGGCUGGGUCACUAGGUCUUUCUCUUUGGAUUUCUCAAGGCCCUGCUGCCCGUUUGAAAUGAUGCCCUUGUCAGGCAAACAUGGAAAGGGAAAAGAGAUCAGGAUUGCGGUUUUGAAAACUGUCAUGUUUUCUUUCUUUUGUCACAUCUCAAAGCCUCUUGGCACAGAGACUUCACCUUUGCUUUAUUUAAGGCUUGUUUACACAUGAAAGUUAAUCCAGAAUAAGGUAAAUGUGUGAAUUUAAAGCAGAAUAACGAUUCCAGAAUAACUCCAUAAGGGGAUAUUCUUAUUCUAGAAUGAGAGUGCCUUUUUCUUUUGUCCAAAGUGGAUUAAGGGUUUGCCUAGAGCAGGUCUACACUACGGGGUGGAUCGAUGCUGUGACAAUCGAUCCACCGGGUUUCGAUUUAUUGGGUCUAGUGAAGACCCGUUAAAUCAACUGCCGAUCACUCUCCCGUUGACUCUGGUACUCCACCAGAACUAAAUGAGUAAGAGGAGUCGACGGGAGAGUGGACCCCAUGGUAAGUAGAUCUAAGACACAUUAAUUUGAGUUACGCUACUAACAUAACUCAAAUCGUGUAGCUUAGAUCGGCUUUCCCCUGUAGUUUAGACCUGCCACUACACAGGGAAUGAUUCCUGAUUAACCGUUCCUGGUGAAGGAUCUUUGACAGUCUGACAUCUAUGGGGGUGGGGGAAGAAGAAUGACAAGGUGUCCUCAGUCCCUUCCCACCAGCGA